rnacentral:rRNA from 1 species
GAUGAACGCUGACGGCGUGCCUAAUACAUGCAAGUAGAACGCUGAAGGAGGAGCUUGCUCUUCUGGAUGAGUUGCGAACGGGUGAGUAACGCGUAGGUAACCUGCCUGGUAGCGGGGGAUAACUAUUGGAAACGAUAGCUAAUACCGCAUGACAACAGUUAUUGCAUGAUAACUGUUUAAAAGGGGCAACUGCUCCACUACCAGAUGGACCUGCGUUGUAUUAGCUAGUUGGUGAGGUAACGGCUCACCAAGGCGACGAUACAUAGCCGACCUGAGAGGGUGAUCGGCCACACUGGGACUGAGACACGGCCCAGACUCCUACGGGAGGCAGCAGUAGGGAAUCUUCGGCAAUGGACGGAAGUCUGACCGAGCAACGCCGCGGGAGUGAAGAAGGUUUUCGGAUCGUAAAGCUCUGUUGUAAGAGAAGAACGAGUGUGAGAGUGGAAAGUUCACACUGUGACGGUAUCUUACCAGAAAGGGACGGCUAACUACGUG